rnacentral:misc_RNA from 1 species
AGCAGCCGCGGUAAUUCCAGCUCCAAUAGCGUAUAUUAAAGUUGUUGCAGUUAAAAAGCUCGUAGUUGAAUUUCGGGAUUGACGUGAUGGUCGUGCCUUACGGGGUAUGAACUGUUGCAGUCAAUUUCUCACCUUCUGGAGAAAUAUGAUGUCCUUAAUUGGGUGUCAUAUGGAACCAGAACUUUUACCUUGAAAAAAUUAGAGUGUUUAAAGCAGGCUUAUUGCUCGAAUACAUUAGCAUGGAAUAAUAAAAUAGGACGGCAUGGUUCUAUUUUGUUGGUUUCUAGGAUCACCGUAAUGAUUAAUAGGGAUAGUUGGGGGCAUUAGUAUUCAAUUGUCAGAGGUGAAAUUCUUGGAUUUAUUGAAGACUAACUACUGCGAAAGCAUUUGCCAAGGAUGUUUUCAUUAAUCAAGAACGAAAGUUAGGGGAUCGAAGACGAUCAGAUACCGUCGUAGUCUUAACCAUAAACUAUGCCGACUAGGAAUCAGACGAUGUUAAUUUUUAAUGACUCGUUGG